GAAAGAGGCCUAAUAAAUAACUACUGGGGAGAGGUGUUGGAGGAACACCAGGGUCUGCCCCACUCCCACUGCCAUUCAGCACCACAGCAGGGGAAAGAGGCCUAAUAAAUAACAACUGGGGAGAGGUGUUGGAGGAACACCAGGGUCUGGCCCACUCCCACUGCCAUUCAGCACCACAGCAAGGGAAAGAGGCCUAAUAAAUAACUACUGGGGAGAGGUGUUGGAGGAACACCAGGGUCUGGCCCACUCCCACUGCCAUUCAGCACCACAGCAAGGGAAAGAGGCCUAAUAAAUAACUACUGGGGAGAGGUGUUGGAGGAACACCAGGGUCUGGCCCACUCCCACUGCCAUUCAGCACCACAGCAAGGGAAAGAGGCCUAAUAAAUAACUACUGGGGAGAGGUGUUGGAGGAACACCAGGGUCUGGCCCACUCCCACUGCCAUUCAGCACCACAGCAAGGGAAAGAGGCCUAAUAAAUAACUACUGGGGAGAGGUGUUGGAGGAACACCAGGGUCUGCCCCACUCCCACUGCCAUUCAGCACCACAGCAGGGGAAAGAGGCCUAAUAAAUAACUACUGGGGAGAGGUGUUGGAGGAACACCAGGGUCUGGCCCACUCCCACUGCCAUUCAGCACCACAGCAG